GACAGAGGGUGCAAACGUUGUUCGGAAUUACUGGGCGUAAAGCGCGUGUAGGCGGCCCUGUAAGUCGGGUGUGAAAUCCCACGGCUCAACCGUGGAAGUGCAUUCGAAACUACAGGGCUAGAGUUCUGGAGAGGAAGGUGGAAUGCUUGGUGUAGAGGUGAAAUUCGUAGAUAUCAAGCGGAACACCGGUGGCGAAGGCGGCCCACUAGAUCGGUACUGACGCUGAGGUGCGAAAGCGUGGGGAGCAAACAGG
rnacentral:rRNA from 1 species